CUUGCAAACCAAAGCUGGCGACCGGCGCACGGGUGGGUAACACGUAUCCAACCUGCCUCAUACUCGGGGAUAGCCUUUCGAAAGAAAGAUUAAUAUCCGAUAGCAUAUAUUUCCCGCAUGGGUUUUAUAUUAAAGAAAUUCGGUAUGAGGUGGGGAUGCGUUCCAUUAGUUUGUUGGGGGGGUAACGGCCCACCAAGACUACGAUGGAUAGGGGUUCUGAGAGGAAGGUCCCCCACAUUGGAACUGAGACACGGUCCAA
rnacentral:rRNA from 1 species